rfam:Schistosoma curassoni strain Dakar, Senegal genome assembly, scaffold: SCTD_scaffold0021193
AUCCAACUGACGUGUCCCAAAUAGGACGAAGUGUCACGUGCUCUGGAU